UUGUCUUUUAAUUGAAGACUGGAACAAAAGAUUAAACAAUUUAAUUAAUAUAUUAAAACUUAAAUUUAUUUUUUAUGUAAAAAAACAUUUAUAAAUUAGGAAGACGACAAGACCCUAUUAAACUUAACUUAAGUUAAACUGGGGCAGUUAAUCAAUUAUUAUUUUAAUAAAUAUAUAAAAACAAAAGAUCCAAUAAAAUUGAUUACAUGAUCAAGUUACUAUAGGGAUAACAGCGCAAUAUUAAUCUAAAGAUCUUAUUUAAAUAAAAGAUUACGACCUCGAUGUUGAAUUAAUAAACUAAUUAUCGCAAUAGAUAAAUAAAGUAAGUCCGUUCGACUUUUAAAAAAUUACA
rnacentral:rRNA from 1 species